rnacentral:rRNA from 1 species
AAGCUGGCAUCUUCAUUUCAAAAAUUGAUAAAAGUGGAAAAAGGGAUGCCAGAAGAUACAAGCAUCUGGAUGUGGAUUCUAAGUCCAUGGAAAAAGCAGCACUGCGACCAGAAGCAAGCUGAGGUUUCUUAAACAUACACAAGUUGAUAGAGGUUUGGAAGAUCUACAAGUUGCUGGGGAUUUGGAAGAUCUAACAAGUUGGAGUUAUAAUAUAUAUACUCCAUCCGACCCAUAAGAUCGUUUUGCAAAACGAUCUUAUAUUAUGGGACGGGGGAGUAUGUAAUAUGUCUUGUUUAUUGAGCCUGGGGACAUUGGCAAGUUCACUUUGCUCAUUUUGAUAUUCGUUUUGACACAUCAGCCAAUGUAUGCUCAUUUUGGUUGUUUGGC